rnacentral:rRNA from 1 species
GAUGAACGCUGGCGGCGUGCCUAAUACAUGCAAGUCGAGCGAACAGAUGAGGAGCUUGCUCCUCUGACGUUAGCGGCGGACGGGUGAGUAACACGUGGAUAACCUACCUAUAAGACUGGGAUAACUUCGGGAAACCGGAGCUAAUACCGGAUAAUAUAUUGAACCGCAUGGUUCAAUAGUGAAAGACGGUUUUGCUGUCACUUAUAGAUGGAUCCGCGCCGCAUUAGCUAGUUGGUAAGGUAACGGCUUACCAAGGCAACGAUGCGUAGCCGACCUGAGAGGGUGAUCGGCCACACUGGAACUGAGACACGGUCCAGACUCCUACGGGAGGCAGCAGUAGGGACUCUUCCGCAAUGGGCGAAAUCCUGACGGAGCAACGCAGCGGGAGUGAUGAAGGUCUUCGGAUCGUAAAACUCUGUUAUUAGGGAAGAACAAAUGUGUAAGUAACUAUGCACGUCUUGACGGUACCUAAUCAGAAAGCCACGGCUAACUACGUG